AUGGCAGCCGAGGGUUCCGCCGGCGGCGGCGGCGGGCGGAAAACACCGUUGCCCCAUAACCCAAGAGAGCGCGGAGCGGCGAAAUUCCUCACCGGCUUGCCAUCGCGAGGAAACUUCUCCUCAAGUUCCAUCUCUUCCAAUCUGUCGAUCUCUGAUAUUUUAGAGGGACAAGUGAUCGAGACGGAUACGACAAAUAUCUUAAUCAGACAUCUGCAACUAAAGAAGAAAGAUAGUGAGGCCAAAGACGCAGGUUCUAGGACUCCAGGGGAAAGUGGCAAGGGUAAAAGAUGUGCUGCCAGAAGUUUGGGUGUGCAAAAGUCGUCAAAAAAGCCCAACCUGGGCAGUUCUUCCGGAUUGCCUUCCUCUGAUGAAGCAAUAUCUGGCUUUUCACAGCACACACUGCAGUCCUUCACCGUAGAGAGGUUGCGUGCACUUCUCCGACAAAGAGGCCUCACAACCAAGGGGAAAAAGGACGAACUGAUCACUCGCUUAAGAGAGGCGCAGAGUUGA
rnacentral:rRNA from 1 species